rnacentral:rRNA from 2 species
AACACGGAGAGUUUGAUCCUGGCUCAGGAUGAACGCUGGCGGUCUGCUUAACACAUGCAAGUCGAACGGAGUAGAAAUAC